rnacentral:lncRNA from 1 species
UAAAUAACUAUCUCCCACAGAUGUUCAUUGUGAGCUGGGUGUUUUGGUCUUGUUUAUGCCACAUCACCAAGUACAUACACAGGCUCGUCACAAGGAAAACCUUCAAUGAUACUGAUAGUGCAACACUCCAGAAGACUGCAGAACAGCUGGAGUAAACUUCUAGCCCUUAUUCUUGGCAAUUACACAAACAGCUGUCUCCAUGACCAAGGAAUUACCACAGCUUCUGGGAAAAGCCAAGCAUGCAGUCGGAGCCCAACAAGCCAGUACUCUGUGUUGAAGUUUAAUUAAGCCACCUACUGAGAAAACUACCAUGGGGGAAGAUCUACUCUGAGUGUGAGAUUUUCAAACCAGUGGAUAGCAUCCAGGGAAGACAGCAGUUUCGACACCCAAUGUAUUUGCCCUAGUUCCUAUGAAUUACAUGCCCUACUUCUUAUGAAAUAUGCAUACUGAAAGCUCAGUUAGGAGUAAUGUUUGCAAAUUUGUUAGUUACAAUGCUGAAAUAGUCAUUGUGUUAAAAAAAAAAAAAAAAAGUGUUUUUUUCAUUCUAUUUCAUUUUGGUAAUUGAGUAGUAUAGCUAGUCUUUACAGACUGCUACAAAUCCAUUUAAUCCUUUAGAUUUUCCUGGCUUAGCUUUAAUUCAUCAAUAUUAGUGAUUUUUCAGAAUGUUUGGUGACGUGCCUCAGCACAUCUUUUGUGUUCUUGGUAAGUGUGACAGUAGAAUGAAAACAUGUACCAGGAGAGAGAACAAAAUUCAUUUCGUUUAAUUAAAGAGUUUGCAAGUAAUAUUUGUCAAUUUUUGUUAAUUAAAAAGAAAAAUAUCUACUCUUGAUCAUACAUUAUUUUCAUGUUUCAGACUUUUUGUAACAUUAAAAAAAAAAAAAAAAAAAAAAAAAAAAAAAGCUCCAGAUUUUUUUAGUAUAGUAAAGAAUGAGGAAACUAGUAAUGAUUUUAAAUGGUCAUUAUAUUGAUGCCAGAGGGAUAAUUCUAACCAGUUAAAGUUCUUAAUCCUGGGGCUAAAUAAGAUAAGUUUAUGUGAGGUGUUUUUUGUUUGGUUGGUUUUUUUUUUGUUGUUGUCUGUAUUUAAAGUUCUUACUUCAUGUAUAAAGAAGAACAGUACUUUAUUCAGGAAACUGCAGACAUUUAGAUUACUGUCAAAUG